GACAUAGGUGGCGAACGUUAUCCGGAAUUAUUGGGCGUAAAGGAUGCGUAGAUGGCGUGAUAAGUUAUCAGUGGUAAAUCGGGGCUCAACCUCGUGGAAGCUUUUAAUACUGUCAUGCUUGAGUUCAGGAGAAGUUAACGGAACUCCAUGUGGAGCGGUAAAAUGUGACGAUAUAUGGAAGAACACCGAUAAGGCGAAGGCAGUUAACUAUUCUGUUACUGACAUUGAGGCAUGAAAGCGUGGGGAGCAAAACGG
rnacentral:rRNA from 1 species